rnacentral:rRNA from 1 species
UACGUAGGGUGCGAGCGUUAAUCGGAAUUACUGGGCGUAAAGCGUGCGCAGGCGGUUCGUUAUGUCCGAUGUGAAAGCCCCGAGCUCAACUUGGGAAUGGCAUUGGAAGCUGGCGGGCUGGAGUGUGGCAGAGGGGGGUGGAAUUCCACGUGUAGCAGUGAAAUGCGUAGAGAUGUGGAGGAACACCGAUGGCGAAGGCAGCCCCCUGGGCCAACACUGACGCUCAGGCACGAAAGCGUGGGGAGCAAACAGG